AACAAUACAUGCAUCAAAAAAAUAUAACUAAAUCAUUUUAUAAAUUCUAGCAUAUUAUCAUGCAUUUAAAACUGUAAAAUCAAACAAUCAAUUAAACAUGACAACAAUAAUAAAUAACCGUUUCUGCUUCUAUUAGUAACCUGUAAUUAGUUCUCGAAGCAUUUUAAAUUAUGCAAAAUACCCUAUUAUUGAUAAUUAGACUUCAAUUCCAUAACAGGAAAUAAGGUGAGAGAUUCUUACCUGAAUCGGUGUCUGAAAUACUGAACUUUCUAUUGCGCU
rnacentral:lncRNA from 1 species